GCAGGCGCGCCUGGGAGUGGCCGCGAAGCUAGUCCCCAAACAAAGCUGGAGCCAAUGCGCUCUCUGGGGUCCUUCACAUCCUGCUACUCAACGACCUGAAGUAAGGAACUGAAGUUCAAGUUCAAGUUCUGCCACUCGCCAGCUGUGACCAGAGCACUUUGCCUCAUCUCAAUGAGCCCUGGGUUCCCACCUGUGCAUGAGUCUAAGGUGCCAUUUUCUACGAUUCUUGGAUUUAUUUUGUCUACAGGUCCUGCUGACUUCCCCUUCAGAAAAGGACUGAGCAACCUCUCAAGGAUGCUCCUACAGCUUACCUAUGUGACAUUUCUCAGGAUAUUCGAGCUGAUAGUUUUUGGAAGGACAGGAGGGCAUGGAGAGAGUUUCAGGUAUGUAAGGUUUGCUUCUUAAGCACAUUCUGGCAAACCUCAGGCCACGUUUUACUCUGGGUCUCCAUCAGCGUGCACAAAAUAGCAGUGUCCCCUUGACCUGCAGCAAUAUUCGUUUGUGAUGGCCCCUGCCUCUUCAGAGCUGCCACAGGACCUGCCUCAUUCAGAUGGAAAGCAAAUGGCACUGGAAGAACGUUUCAUCUCCUGCAUCUGUGGGAUCAGCCCCAGUACAGGCAAAAAUCUCAUGCUUUCAUACCAGCCCCUCUGGGGCUUUCAUCUCUGCUUCAAAAAAAUGGACAGCUUCAAAAAUUCAAAAAUCAAUUGGAAUGGAGCCAGCUCUGUCCAGUGGGUUAUUAAUGGUCCUGGAGCUGACUAAUCCUAUUUGCACAGCCUUUUGGUAAACAGCUUCAACAACAACUAGGGUGGAAAAGAAAACACACACCCCAUCCAAUCAAGACAAACUUCAAGUAUUGAUUUCACCGCCUCCUUCUCCCCUGCUGCCACUUUUGAAACAAAUUUAGAGUAUGACACCAGGGUCAUUGAUCAUUGCCAAACCCCCACGUCACCAGGUCCUGACUAUGUUCUGCUGGAGUAGUACAUUGCUUCAUUCUGCUGGAAUAACUUUUCCAAGAUUUCCUGAGGUAGGGAAUAUAAAUUGCUGGAUCCCGGGGAAGACGGCAGGGAAAGGAAUAUCUGGUUGGGCUCAGGUACUCCAGGUAGCUCUCCCUGACUGAUCACUUCUCAGGUGCCGCGUAAGCCUCCACAGGAGCCGUGGGUCCUCCCUGAGCCCUGCAAACAGAUCCCAUUCCUGCCCCAGAGUCUUUACGGAGAGGCUUCCAGGUCUCCAUCAAACUUCUUUCUGCUUUAGCUUCUAUUCUGUUUGUGGGAAAGACAAGGAGAACCGUGAGAGCUAUUUCAGAGGGACCUUGUCUCAUCAGUCUACACCCUGGGCUUGCUGCCCUGCCAACUUAAAAAAAAAAAAUGGCUUAGGGCCGGGUGCAGUGGCUCAUGCCUAUAAUCCCAGCACUUUGGGAGGCCGAGGUGGGCAGAUCACGAGGUCAAGAGAUGGAGACCAUCCUGGCCAACACAGUGAAACCCCGUCUCUACUAAAGAUACAAAAAUUAGCUGGGCAUGGUGGCACGCACCUGUAGUCCCAGCUACUCAGGAGGCUGAGGCAGAAGAAUUGCUUGAAUCCUGGAGGUGGAAGUUGCAGUGAGCCGAGAUUGCGCCACUACAUGCCAGCCUGGUGACAGUGUGAGACUCUGUUUCAAAAAAAAGAAAAAAAGGUUUUGGUCCUUACUCAUAGUGACAGAAACAAUGACAACCUGGUGACAUGCAGACAUCAAUUUCCCCUUCUCUUCGUUGUUUUAAAAUGUGAUGUUCCUGGCUGGGCAUGCUGGCUCACACCUGUAAUCCCAACAUUUGGGAGGCCAACAUGGGAGGAUUGCUUCAGCCCAAGAAUUUGAGACCAGCCUUGGCAACAUAGUGAGACUCUGUCUCUAAUAAAUACAUACAUACAUAUAUAAAAUGUUUUGUUCCAACACAAAUUAACUCUCUAAUUGUGCAACAUCCUUUCCAACCCUUCACUUCACCUCCAUGUGUUUCAAUGAUUAAUAAAACUGAUUAAUAAAGC